AGCUGUAGUCUCUGGAUAGCAUGAAGCAGCGUUCUAUCCUUUCCUUGGCCCUUUGGUCAACUUUCAAUUCAUCUGAUGUGUGGGACCCAAAGAUCCAUGGCAGAAAUCAGUGAGUGAGAUCCAUCAACCAUCUCCGGAAACGUUUUACAGUCACUUUCCUACAGAUGAAGACAUAGAAAUUGGACAGGCUUGGGCUGCUGACUCAGAUAUGGUUGACAUGAGUGAUGUCGAUGAGUGGAUCAUUUAAGCGUAAGGACAUAGGUGUCAGGAUUGUGUUCUGUUUUGUCUUGGUUUUCCUAGUGUUUUUCCCUUGUGUUUCUUGUGUUUUUGGUUUAGUCCUGGUUUUCCCCCCUUAGGUUUUGUUCAAUUGGUUCAGUCGUGCCCAUAUUUGUACUUCCCCUCAUUAUCUCGUUUGUGACCACUCCCCUGUUUUUGUAUAUUUAAGGUUUGUUUGUUCCACUUGGUUUUGUCGGUGAUUAUAUUGUCAUUCAGUUUAAUGUCUAUGCUGUGUCUGGUUUCCUGCUGUUUCCCUGCGUUUGUUUUAUGUUCACUUUUGGAUUACUUAAUAAAACUACACCUGUUGGGAUCUCCGCUCUCCUCCAGCUUAUUCCCACGCACACCACGACGACGUACAGCGUGACAAUAGGAUGGUUGGAUGUGGUUUAUAAGGCAUGCAAACAGGAUAAAAAGAAUGGAAAAUCUGAAGCACCCCCAUCAUGCUGUAAUUUUUUUUUUAAAAAAAGUGUUUAUUAUUACUAUUAUUAAUUUUAUUUUAUGAAAGAAGAGUUAAAUUGCAAUGCUAAUAUAUUCUGUAUAUCUACCCAUAAAACAUUUCUUCUUAAACAAAAAAAAAAAAAAAAAAUAGGACAGGAUUUUUUUUAGGAUAGCAAUUUUGACAUUGCUGUGGAUUUUAGCAUAGGCACAUUCUAAGAUCAAAUCUAUGCAAGUUUUAUAAAUGAGGCCCCUGGUUUACAAAUUACUCUCAUUACUGUUUUGAGAAGUUGUUUUAUUAAAAAAAUAAUUGUGUUUUCAAAUGCUUAUUGUACAAGAUGCAAAUUCAGAGUGCUUGUAAAGUAGGGAUGGGACGAUAAAUCGUUGCUUAGUUUUGAACAGCAGCUGGCACUGCUUGCUUUAGAAACAGCGGUGCUCUGCUUGUUUCCAAAUCCUUACACGCACUUGAACCUAAAAUAAUCAUUUAUACAAUUUGAAAAGGUUAAAGCGGAUUACAGUGGUGUUCACAGUGGGCUGUGUUUACAAUCUGGUGUCAUAAAAGCAUUCUGACCCAAGGUGAAAUUGACCAUAUGCAAUGGAGCGUUCUUUAGAAUUUCUGUGUAAUGAUAAGCUUCCGGUGAAGCUCAUUUUAUAUGUGCUAUAUAUAAGUGUAGACUCUUGAGACUCCUCUCCUGCCUCGUUCUUAUCAGAAACUGAGAAAAAUUAUAACUAAAACAUUGUAUAUAAUGAUAAUGGCAUGAACGUUCAGUUUCAUGUUAUUUAGCAACAUAUAAAGAGUCUGGUAAUCACAGGAGAGUACCUAGACACAUACACUGACCAAAAUUAUAAACGCAACACUUUUGAUUUUGCUCCCAUUUUUCAUGAGCUGAACUCAAAGAUCUAAGACUUUUUCUAUGUACACUAAAAGACUGUUUUUCGCAAAUAUUGUUCACAAAUCUGUCUAAAUCUGUGUUAUUGAGCAUUAUUUAAAUACGUAUAUAUAGUUCACUACAAAUUCUAGGUUAAAUAUUAAUAUAAAUAAAAUUUAUCUGAUGCCAAAUCCAAGAGAUCGCUAGCAAGUAUGAUGGAACCGUACAGAAAUAUACAAAAAUAUUAAAUGUAUUUUUUCAACUUUUUUCAAGUUAUUUUAUAUGAACAGAAAAUGUUUUUAUUUGACAAAAACUGCUUGCGAUUGCUGACUGGUAUCUGAAGUUAAUGUUUAUUAAUAUAAAAUGUAUCUGAGGCCAAAUCCACAAGUUCGCAGACAAGUAUGAUCUAACUGUAGAAAAAUAUGAAAUGUAUUUAUUUGACACCAAAGCCCUGACACUUUUUUCCAAGUUAUUUUAUAAGAACAGAAAACGUUUUUAUUUGACAAAAACUGCUUCCAAGUCCUGACUGGUAUCUGAAGUUAUAAAUGUAUCUUAUAUAAAAUGUAUCUUGACGCAGCCGAAUGCACAAGUUCUCGUCAGCACUCUUCUUCAUGAGCAUUUGAGUGUGUGCGGAUAAAAACUAGAUUAGAGCACUAUCUGCUGUUUAAAUCUAAGAUCAGAAUCGAUUCCAAAGAUAAUGGCGAUGCAUUCGGAAGAUCUCAGAAUCGAUCCACGAAUCGAUGUAUUGUUCCAUCCCCAUUGUAAAGACGAGUUUGUAUUGGAACAUAAAUGAUCAUAAUGCUGCACUUCUAUCUGAAACAAAGAGUGUCAGACUAUACUGCUUUUUAACUGUAAUCGCAAAUGGGUGUUAAAGGCAGUGUAUAUACACAUCUACCCUAUCCACCUUAUUUUUCAAUGCGGAAGUAAGCUUUUCUGUUAAUGUGUUAGACUUCCUGUUCAUAAUCUGCCACAGAGAAAUAACGAGAAGAAUAUCGAAGUGGUGUAAACGGUAAAACAGUUUGCACUACAAACUAUUGUGUUCAUAAUUAAGAUAAUACAUUAAAAUAACAUGGUAAGACACACAGAUUUGCAAUAUCAAGCAGCAAAACGAGCUGUUUUGCACAGAUAACUCUGUCACUCUGUCAGUUUAAAUCUAGAUUAAAGACCCAUCUCUUUAACCUUGCUUACACAUAACAAAUCCACAUUCUUAUAAUUCAAAUCCGUUAAAGGAUUGUUAGGCUGCACUAAUUAGGUCAACCGGAACCGGGAACACUUCCCAUAACACCCGAUGUACUCGGUGCAUCGUCAGAAGAAUGGCAUCUACGCUAAUAUUAGUCUGUUUCUCUCUUAUUCCGAGGUCACAUUAACCACCAGAUCCAGUCCGUAUCCAGAUCAGACGGUGGAUCAGCACCUAGAGACGACCUCUACAGCCCUGAAUGUCAGUGGAGUCCACAUCGACUAGAUGAGCCCCAGAGACGGAUCCACAUUAAAGACCACAUCACCUAGACGGCUGUCGGCACAAGACCACGGGAACUGUGGCCAGAGGAGAACUGGCCCCCCGACUGAGCCUGGUUUCUCCCAAGGUUUUUUUCUCCAUUUGUCACCGAUGGAGUUUUGGUUCCUUGCCGCUGUCGCCUCUGGCUUGCUUAGUUGGGGACACUUUUCUCUUAACACAAUAUUGCAUUUUAUUUUAUUGUUUUUGAUUAACUACCUUUACCUAUAAUGUGAGUGUUUAAUGUUGCCUUUGGCAUUGUUAAUGUACUGUUUCCUAUUUAAUACUGUACAGCCGCCUUGUCACAAUUCUGUAUUGUUAAAGGCGGUAUAUAAAUAAAGGUAAAAAAAAAAAACAAAAAAAAAAAAAAAAAACAAAAAAAAGAUAAACAUAGCUGGACCCAGAUGAGACCGGAAGCCAGACACAUUAAAUUUACAAACUGCCGCUCCCACUCUUACUACAAAAAUAAGGUUGAUAAUGAUAAAAAUCCAUGCAGUGGUUUUUAAUUAAUCUGUAAAAAUAAUAUCCCCUUUUUCAAAUUGAGCCAUUCUCAGAUGCCUGUCAUUGUGGCGUCACACCAACAGAGGCCGCUCCCACAAUAGUUGAUUGACAUGAGCGUUUUACCUCAGAUCAGCUGUAACAGUCCGACCUCCACUGUUUGGAUACCGGAGCAGGGAUGUAAAUUAGACAAGAAUAUCUCCGAUUGAGUGAUUGAGGUGUUGUGUUGCUGGAUGUAAUAACGAACAUAGUAGUCGUUAUUUACUCCUGACAUCUGAGCCGCUGAAGAUGCAGUGGAUUACGUUUGUUUGUGAAGGGAAUGCGCCUCCCGAUCUACAUAAAUGCGUCUAUAUUCACGCAAAUCAUUCGUGAUCCAGAUUCACUUACAGCAGAAGUGAGUAUAAGGGUUUUUUAUGAAUCUUUGCGAUCACCUUUCCUAAUAACGUGCUAGUUAGAAGAGAGGGGCGGGGUGAGCAGAGCUCAUUUGCAAGGAACAAUCCCUCAGAAUGGGAUGAUUUUUGCAGAGCUCAUUUUGACAAGGUAAAAAGGGUUGUUUACACAACCAUUGAGAAUUUUCAACCAAAGUAUAAUAUGGACUUUUCAUUAAGACCCUAAAGAAUCAUAUUAACUUGUGGAAAAUGGGCAUCCGAUGACCCCUUUAAAGUUGGCAUGAAAUGGAAUUUACCCUAUAUAUAUUUUUUGCAUGUUAUAGACUGUAUUCAUCCAUGCAUUUGUUUCCUUUUUAGAUGUAUUUUUCACCUUGUAACGUUUAUUUGAAAUCCAGUAAUUUAGUUGAUUUACACGCAAGCUUACAUUCCUUUUUUAUUGUAAUGCAAUAAUAUUUUAUUGUUCAUAUGGCCCAGAUUUAGAUGUCCCAAAGCCCAACAUAACAGUGUACCGACAGAUAGAGGACAGAGAGAAUGUGACUGUGAUGUGCAAGUUUGGCAAGACACACAACAUACACAUGGAAACCAUGGAAAAACUCAAAUGCUCCUCUUCAGAUUUUUUGGAAAUACGUGUGUUUAUGGUCACAGUGAGUCCACCUGCGUCAUUCACCUGUGUGCAUGAGUUUAAUUUCAGGAAACUGCGCAGCCAGACCUACAAAUACAGUGGGUCAGUCAUUGAUCAUCAUAAGGAAGGAGUAUCUUCAUUCUACAUCUGCUUUUCCUCCUUCGUUGUUGUUGGUCUUUUCAUCAUGACUGCAGCAGUGAUCAUGACUAACAUCAGGAGCAAAACUAAAGACACCAACUCCACAGCAGUUACCAACAAUGACUACGUGGAAGCAUAAAAAAAUCACUUUCAGAAGAGAACAGAACAGGCCUGAAGAAAAACAAAUGUAUAAAAAUAUAAACUUGAAAUAUAUUCAUUAUUCAACUAACCUUUUGUAAUUUUCUUUUGGAAUAUAUAAAAUAUAUUAUUACAAGUAAAAAAAAAAGUCUUAAGAGAUUUUGUUUAUGGUGUAACCUUCCUCAUUUGUAAGUAUGUCUGGAUAAAAAAAGUUUUUUUAGGUUAUAUAACUGCUUCACUUACUGCUGCAGCUUUAUAUUCUGUCUACAUACAGUAAGGGGCAAAAGCUGUGUAGCGAAUACUUGCAUGCAUUAAUAUGAUUUGCUUCUUUGUUCUCAUUUUUAAAAAUACAAAUACAGUUUAAAAAAAAUAUAUUGUGAUUUUUUUUGUUAUAUUGUAAAAUAAAAUUUUGGUUAUACUGCCCAUUCCAAACAUCCAAGUCUGCAACAGGGCUGAAACAAUCAGUUGACAUUAUCAAUAAUGUUGACGGUAAAAAAAAAAAAAAAAAAAAAAAAAAAAAAAGGCCAAAAAGUGUUGUGGAAUGGCCUUUUGACCUCAUAUGAUCUAAUGUAAGAACCUGCAAUAAUGCAGUUUGAACAGUGUGACAUAUUCAGUCCUCCUGGAUGGAAUCCAGUAGAAGAAAAAACAGUGCUGAUGAGAAUAUGGAUGCAUUUGAGCGCUGACUGAGGCGCAUCUGCAUAUGUCACGGCACCAUGCCCAUGCGUUGUUUACAUGCAAAGGAAAGCACACACAUGCUCUACUUCUAUGGCGCUAGGGUGACACAGAGUAGAAGAAUUGUUGAAUAAAGUUAUUUUUUUAGUUGUGAUUUUGCUUAUGCCGUGACAUUCCUCAUUUGUUUUUGUUUUUUUUGUUUUUGUUUUGUUGUUUUAAUGGAUGAAUACAAAAUUAUGCUUCACUUACUGCUGCAGCUUUGAUUUCUGAUUAACUUCAGUAUGGUGCAGUAGUUGUGAUAUAGUACUGUCUAUUUCAAAAUGUCUUUUAAAUAAGAAAUUAAUAACAAUUAUGUGCAUGCAUUUAUGUGA